GACGAACGCUGGCGGCGUGCUUAACACAUGCAAGUCGAACGGAGAGGCCUGCUUUCCCUUGUGGAUUGCGGGUACUCGAGUGGCGAACGGGUGAGUAACACGUGAGUGAUCUGCCCCCAACUUGGGUAUAAGCCUGGGAAACUGGGUCUAAUUCCCGAUAGGACUGCAGGGUGGUGCCUGUGGUUGAAAACGAUUUUCUAGUGGUUGGGGAUGAGCUCGCGGCCUAUCAGCUUGUUGGUGGGGUAAUGGCCUACCAAGGCGGCGACGGGUAGCCGGCCUGAGAGGGUGGACGGCCACAUUGGGACUGAGAUACGGCCCAGACUCCGACGGGAGGCAGCAGUGGGGAAUAUUGCACGAUGGGCGGAAGCCUGAUGCAGCGACGCCGCGUGGGGGAUGACGGCCUGCGGGUUGUAAACUCCUUUCGACCGCGAGGAAGCCACCUGGUUGGAAGGGUGGUGACGGUAGUGGUAGAAGAAGCACCGGCUAACUACGUG
rnacentral:rRNA from 1 species